GAUGAACGCUAGCGGCGGGCUUAAUACAUGCAAGUCGAACGGUAACAUGGAAGCUUGCUUCUGAUGACGAGUGGCGCACGGGUGCGUAACGCGUAUGCAACCUACCUUAUACAGGGGGAUAGCCCGGAGAAAUUCGGAUUAAUACCCCAUGGUACUAUUGAUUGGCAUCAUGAUAUAGUUAAAGCAUUGUGGUAUAAGAUGGGCAUGCGUCUAAUUAGCUAGUUGGUAAGGUAACGGCUUACCAAGGCGACGAUUAGUAGGGGGUCUGAGAGGAUUAUCCCCCACACUGGCACUGAGAUACGGGCCAGACUCCUACGGGAGGCAGCAGUAGGGAAUAUUGGUCAAUGGGGGCAACCCUGAACCAGCCACGCCGCGUGAAGGAUGAAGGCGUUCUGCGUCGUAAACUUCUUUUAUAUACCAAGAAAAAGCCUUGCGAGGUUCUAUGACGGUAGUAUAUGAAUAAGCACCGGCUAACUCCG
rnacentral:rRNA from 1 species